GACGAACGCUGGCGGCGUGCCUAACACAUGCAAGUCGAACGGAACUGUUUUGAAAGAUUUCUUCGGAAUGAAUUUGAUUUAGUUUAGUGGCGGACGGGUGAGUAACGCGUGAGUAACCUGCCUUCAAGAGGGGGAUAACAUUCUGAAAAGAAUGCUAAUACCGCAUGACAUAUCGGAAUCACAUGAUUUUGAUAUCAAAGAUUUUAUCGCUUGAAGAUGGACUCGCGUCCGAUUAGUUAGUUGGUGAGGUAACGGCUCACCAAGACCGCGAUCGGUAGCCGGACUGAGAGGUUGAACGGCCACAUUGGGACUGAGACACGGCCCAGACUCCUACGGGAGGCAGCAGUGGGGGAUAUUGCGCAAUGGGGGCAACCCUGACGCAGCAACGCCGCGUGAAGGAUGAAGGUUUUCGGAUUGUAAACUUCUUUUAUUAAGGACGAAAAAUGACGGUACUUAAUGAAUAAGCUCCGGCUAA
rnacentral:rRNA from 1 species